rnacentral:lncRNA from 1 species
GUGAUGGAGACCCGCCAGGUGUCCAGGAGCCCUCGGGUUCGGCUGCUGCUGCUGCUGCUGCUGCUGCUGGUGGUGCCCUGGGGCGUCCGCACUGCCUCGGGAGUCGCCCUGCCCCCGGUCGGGGUCCUCACCUCCGCCCCCCAGGACGGGCCUGGGCGGAUCCCGCCACCCCCAGGCCGCGGAGGAGCCUGGCGCUGGCGGACGACGCGGCCUUCCGGGAGCGCGCGCGGUUGCUGGCCGCCCUCGAGCGCCGCCACU